rnacentral:rRNA from 1 species
GAUGAACGCUGGCGGCGUGCCUAAUACAUGCAAGUCGAGCGAACAGACGAGGAGCUUGCUCCUCUGACGUUAGCGGCGGACGGGUGAGUAACACGUGGAUAACCUACCUAUAAGACUGGGAUAACUUCGGGAAACCGGAGCUAAUACCGGAUAACAUGUUGAACCGCAUGGUUCAACAGUGAAAGACGGUCUUGCUGUCACUUAUAGAUGGAUCCGCGCCGCAUUAGCUAGUUGGUAAGGUAACGGCUUACCAAGGCAACGAUGCGUAGCCGACCUGAGAGGGUGAUCGGCCACACUAGAACUGGGACACGGUCCAGACUCCUACGGGAGGCAGCAGUAGGGAAUCUUACGCAAUGGGCGAAAGCCUGACGGAGCAACGCCGCGUGAGUGAUGAAGGUCUUCGGAUCGUAAAACUCUGUUAUUAGGGAAGAACAAAUGUGUAAGUAACUAUGCACGUCUUGACGGUACCUAAUCAGAAAGCCACGGCUAACUACGUG